rnacentral:rRNA from 1 species
UCGGGAAUUUUGGGCAAUGGGCGAAAGCCUGACCCAGCAACGCCGCGUGAAGGAUGAAAUCCCUCGGGAUGUAAACUUCGCAAGAACGGGAAGAAUAAGUAGGGGACAAUACCCCCUAUGAUGACGGUACCGUUUGUAAGCUCCGGCUAACUCCGUGCCAGCAGCCGCGGUAAUACGGGGGGAGCAAGCGUUGUUCGGAUUUACUGGGCGUAAAGGGCGCGUAGGCGGCCAGCGCAAGUCAGUUGUGAAAUCUCCGAGCUUAACUCGGAAAGGUCAACUGAUACUGCGCGGCUAGAGUGCGGAAGGGGCAACUGGAAUUCUCGGUGUAGCGGUGAAAUGCGUAGAUAUCGAGAGGAACACCUGCGGCGAAGGCGGGUUGCUGGGCCGACACUGACGCUGAGGCGCGAAAGCUAGGGGAGCGAACGGGAUUAGAUACCCCCGGUAGUCCUAGCCUUAAACGAUGAAUGCUUGGUGUCUGGGGUUAUAUAGUCCCCGGGUGCCGUCGCUAACGCUUUAAGCU